rnacentral:lncRNA from 1 species
AUGACCCUCUCCCCUGCUUCUUAUGUCCCCUGGCAGAGAAUGGUCAAGAACUUAGAGAAGGAGCUGGCAUUGCUCAAGCAGGAAUUGGCCAUCCAUGAUAGCCUGUCCAACCGCACCCUCGUGAAUUAUGACCCCAUGGAUGAAAUCCAGAUUGCUGAAAUCAACUCCCAAGUGCGGAGGUACCUGGAGGGGACCCUGGAUGAGAUUGAUGUAAGGAGCCUGCUGUGGGACCACCAUGUGCACCUAGCUUGGACUUCCUGUCUAAGUACUGCCAUAUAUGGAAUGGGUACAGUAGAUGGGAAGUGUUGUAGACCCUCGUCAAGGGCCCUUUGGCCCACCAUGGUCUUCGCUUCCGUAUUUAGGGUUACAAACCUAUGGAGCUAUCCACAGCAUCCAGUGGGCUGGAACACACUCUUAGACCACAGGUGAUCUAUCUCAGAGCACUGAUGGAACCCCAGGCUCCUCCAGAAAGGUGACCUGGGCCACAUGCACAGUAGCCUCACCUGUGCAGCAGAGCUAACACAGGCUCAGGCUAAGUUGCCACUUUAGGUAAGCUUGGCUCUGCCUGAUGGCAUGAGGGUUCUAAAGGACGGUGGUCAGGUUGAUUGUCAUUAGAGAAGACCCAACCCCAGAACCCACUGUUGGGUACAAAAGGAGAAAACAUGGGCACACAGGAAGAGCUAGAGAGGGGAAUAAAUCUUAUCUUUUACAGUGUGCCCAUAAAACCUUUCACCAGGGAACCGCAUGGGCUGCUGUCCCUCUCACAGCCAUCUAUAACUCCGGUUCCAAGGGCUCUGAUGUCCUCUUCUGGUCUUGGAGAGCAUCAGACAUGCACAUUCAUGCAGGCAAAGCACUCAGACACAUAAAAAUUUAAAAAAAAAACUUUAAAAUAUAGUUUUUAAUAAAGGCUCAACAGGGGCUGGAGAGAUGGCUCAGCAGCUAAGAGCACUGGCUGUUCUUCCAGAGG